CAAACCCAGUAAGGGCCUUUUAAGAACAAAAGGGCCUUUUAGUUAAUGCAGCAGGAUCUACUUUCCUUAGAAGGAAGCUUUGGUUAUAAAUAACAACCCUUCCCCUCUGGAUUCCUCCAGGUGCAUUGGAAAUUCAAAUUUCAGAAUAAGCUGACUGCCAAGAGGGCCCUCCCCCUGUCGGGAGUCCCUUAGUCCAUGGGAAAUUCACAGAGAAGGAAACGGUCACUUUUCCUGCACCUGAGAAGGUGAUUCUGACUCUCCUGGAACCUGAGAACCACCAGUCUACGGGAAUAGAGCCCUGCUUUGGGUCAGAGACAGAAUCUCACUAUGUUGCCCACGCUGGUCUCAAACUCCAGGCCUCAAGAGAUCCUCCUGCCUCAGCUUCUCAAAGUGCUGGGAUUACAGGCAUGAGCCACAACA